GACGAACGCUGGCGGCGUGCUUAACACAUGCAAGUCGAGCGAUGAAACCUAGCUUGCUAGGUCGAUUAGUGGCGAACGGGUGAGUAACACGUGACUAACCUGCCCCUUUCUCUGGGAUAACGCUCCGAAAGGAGUGCUAAUACCGGAUACUCACACCGAGGCACAUGCCUUGGUGUGGAAAGUUUUUCGGAAAGGGAUGGAGUCGCGGCCUAUCAGCUUGUUGGUGAGGUAACGGCUCACCAAGGCGGCGACGGGUAGCCGGCCUGAGAGGGCGACCGGCCACACUGGGACUGAGACACGGCCCAGACUCCUACGGGAGGCAGCAGUGGGGAAUAUUGCACAAUGGGCGCAAGCCUGAUGCAGCGACGCCGCGUGAGGGAUGAAGGUCUUCGGAUUGUAAACCUCUUUCAGUAGGGACGAAGCGAAAGUGACGGUACCUAAAGAAGAAGCACCGGCUAACUACGUGCCAGCCGCCGCGGUAA
rnacentral:rRNA from 1 species